rnacentral:rRNA from 1 species
AGCGAACGCUGGCGGCAGGCCUAACACAUGCAAGUCGAACGAACUCUUCGGAGUUAGUGGCGGACGGGUGAGUAACACGUGGGAACGUGCCUUUAGGUUCGGAAUAACUCAGGGAAACUUGUGCUAAUACCGAAUGUGCCCUUCGGGGGAAAGAUUUAUCGCCUUUAGAGCGGCCCGCGUCUGAUUAGCUAGUUGGUGAGGUAAAGGCUCACCAAGGCGACGAUCAGUAGCUGGUCUGAGAGGAUGAUCAGCCACAUUGGGACUGAGACACGGCCCAAACUCCUACGGGAGGCAGCAGUGGGGAAUCUUGCGCAAUGGGCGAAGGCCUGACGCAGCCAUGCCGCGUGAAUGAUGAAGGCCUUAGGAUUGUAAAAUUCUUUCACCGGGGACGAUAAUGACGGUACCCGGAGAAGAAGCCCCGGCUAACUUCGUG